rnacentral:rRNA from 1 species
ACGCACGCUGGCGGCGUGCUUAACCCAUGCCAGUCGAACGGAAAGGCCCUGCUUUUGUGGGGUGCUCGAGUGGCGAACGGGUGAGUAACACGUGAGUAACCUGCCCUUGACUUUGGGAUAACUUCAGGAAACUGGGGCUAAUACCGGAUAGGAGCUCCUGCCGCAUGGUGGGGGUUGGAAAGUUUCGGCGGGUGGGGAUGGACUCGCGGCUUAUCAGCUUGUUGGUGGGGUAGUGGCUUACCAAGGCUUUGACGGGUAGCCGGCCUGAGAGGGUGACCGGCCACAUUGGGACUGAGAUACGGCCCAGACUCCUACGGGAGGCAGCAGUGGGGAAUAUUGCACAAUGGGCGGAAGCCUGAUGCAGCAACGCCGCGUGCGGGAUGACGGCCUUCGGGUUGUAAACCGCUUUCGCCUGUGACGAAGCGUGAGUGACGGUAAUGGGUAAAGAAGCACCGGCUAACUACGUG